AUGGAAAUGCCACUUCAAAUUGCACAGGAUAAAGGAGGCAAUUGGUGGUUAAAAGUGUUAAAUAAGGAUGUUGGAUACUUUCCUGCAGCUUUAUUCUCCUCAUUCAACGGAGCUGAUCAAGUGGGAUUUGGUGGAUAUACUGUAACUCCUGCGGGAAUAGACAAUGAUGCACCUAAUUGUUAUGGUGUUACGAACUAUGAAGAUAGAAAAAGAAGUAAUGGAUAUUCUAUUCAAUUUGGAGGACCGGGUGGUAAAUGUAGUAAUUAA